rnacentral:rRNA from 1 species
UACGUAGGGUGCAAGCGUUGUCCGGAAUUAUUGGGCGUAAAGAGCUCGUAGGCGGUUCGUCGCGUCUGCUGUGAAAACCUGGGGCUCAACCCCGGGCGUGCAGUGGGUACGGGCGGGCUAGAGUGCAGUAGGGGAGACUGGAAUUCCUGGUGUAGCGGUGAAAUGCGCAGAUAUCAGGAGGAACACCGGUGGCGAAGGCGGGUCUCUGGGCUGUUACUGACGCUGAGGAGCGAAAGCGUGGGGAGCGAACAGG